rnacentral:rRNA from 1 species
GACGAACGCUGGCGGCGUGCUUAACACAUGCAAGUCGAACGGAAAGGCCCUGCUUUUGUGGGGUGCUCGAGUGGCGAACGGGUGAGUAACACGUGAGUAACCUGCCCUUGACUUUGGGAUAACUUCAGGAAACUGGGGCUAAUACCGGAUAGGAGCUCCUGCUGCAUGGUGGGGGUUGGAAAGUUUCGGCGGUUGGGGAUGGACUCGCGGCUUAUCAGCUUGUUGGUGAGGUAGUGGCUUACCAAGGCUUUGACGGGUAGCCGGCCUGAGAGGGUGACCGGCCACAUUGGGACUGAGAUACGGCCCAGACUCCUACGGGAGGCAGCAGUGGGGAAUAUUGCACAAUGGGCGGAAGCCUGAUGCAGCAACGCCGCGUGCGGGAUGACGGCCUUCGGGUUGUAAACCGCUUUCGCCUGGGACGAAGCGUGAGUGACGGUAAUGGGUAAAGAAGCACCGGCUAACUACGUG